UACGAAGGGGGCUAGCGUUGUUCGGAAUUACUGGGCGUAAAGGGCGCGUAGGCGGCGUGUCAAGUCAGGCGUGAAAGCCCCGGGCUCAACCCGGGAACCGCGCUUGAGACUGGCAUGCUCGAGUUCGGGAGAGGAUGGUGGAAUUCCCAGUGUAGAGGUGAAAUUCGUAGAUAUUGGGAAGAACACCGAUGGCGAAGGCAGCCAUCUGGACCGACACUGACGCUGAGGCGCGAAAGCGUGGGGAGCAAACAGG
rnacentral:rRNA from 1 species